GACGAACGCUGGCGGCGUGCCUAACACAUGCAAGUCGAGCGGUUCAACCUUUGACACUGAGUAUUUGAGGAAUCAAAUAUUGAGUGUUGAAGGUUGGAUAGCGGCGGACGGGUGAGUAACGCGUGGGCAACCUACCUCAAACAGGGGGAUAACACAGGGAAACUUGUGCUAAUACCGCAUAAGACCACAACAUGGCAUCAUGGAGAGGUCAAAGGAGAAAUCCGGUUUGAGAUGGGCCCGCGUCCGAUUAGCUAGUUGGUGGGGUAAAGGCCUACCAAGGCGACGAUCGGUAGCCGAACUGAGAGGUUGAUCGGCCACAUUGGGACUGAGACACGGCCCAG
rnacentral:rRNA from 1 species